AGAACUGACGCAGCUUCAUCUCAUUCCUGAUGUAUCCUGGGCCCCUCAGUGCCUUACUCCUGCGUGAGCGCUGUGAACUGGAGCAAAUGGAUUGAAAAUGGCCAGAAGUUUCUCUUGAUCACUUUAGAUCUUUUAUGACAAAGAAAAAAAUUUCAAUUUCUGUCCAGUUAAAAUCCAUUUGAGCCAGUUUAAGCUAAUUGCGCAGAGCUGGAGCCUGAGGUCGGCAAAUCCAGGAAGAUGGCUGAAUACUAUGCUGACUCAAGCCCAGACGAGGAGCCAGAUUUCUUGGAUUCCAGAUUCACUUCUUCCUUGACUUCACCCUGGACCUGUGGUGACUGGAGGCUUUGUGACAUGAUGAAAAAACUGAGGCUCCAAGAGCUUCUGUGACUUGUCCAAGGCCAUGCAGCUAGUUCACAGUGAGGCACAGAAUCAGUUGUAGAAGCACUUCAGGGAAUUCGGAUACCGUUUUGUGGCCUGGCAAGAUCAGCACCCUUAAUACCUUAGCCCCUGCCAGUCAUCAGCCUCUGAUUUCCCUGUUAUCCUGCUGCUCCCUAGAAUGCAGCUAAGAAGUGGCCUAAGAGACAGCACGUUUACGGAGUAGCAAAGGUUCAGCCUAGGGAAUUCCCAAUGCUUGAACUAACAGCAACAAUGGUCUAUAUAGUCUCAAAGAUGGUUGUGUAGAGGCCUUCUGAACAUUUCCCAUAUCCAUCUGCCCUUGUAAACAUCUCUUCUUCCUCUGUUGUACACAAGGAAUGAACCAUAAAAGCAGAAACUCCAUCAUUCUUAUGAACCAUUUUCAUGUGUCCUCUAUUUCAAUAUUACUUUUCCUGUUUGAGCUUUACUUUGCAUAGUAGACUUGCUCAACCUGCUCUCUGUGGAUGAGAACCACAUUGUUGAAAAGCCCUUCGAUAUGUGGAGUGUUGAAAACUGUUGUGUGGUUGAGCCAGUGAGUUCUGCUGGCUCUGGGAUGAGGGCUUCACCUCAUGUAUUUGCACUGCCCUUAUACUAGUUACUGCUAACCUCAGAAUCAGGUUGAAAAUUCAAAGAAAAUCAAACCCUUAUGUGUUGCCCUAAGGCAAAACUGUCCCUUACCACCUUAAGUGCCCGAUUUCCAUUAACCAUUUUUUUUCCUGGUGAAAAUUAAUACCACAUUGAAGGAAGAUAAAGUCACAUGGUCUUUUGCCCAGUGCCAGUACAUAAUUGUGACUAUUGUAUAGAGUCAAGAAAAGAUAGGAAGAUCUGCUCUGUGACAAUAUAGACUUGAUCUAUACUGUUAGUAAACUGCUUUUUAGGCCAGGGUUGUGGACUUCCGGCACCAUCCAGCUCUGACUGGGCUUAGAUGGAUGGGACACAUCAUGCUAUAGAAUUAUUCCUGGCUUCUUUUCUAAACACAUAGCACCACAAUGAAACAGAGCAGGAAGAGAAGGGCUCUGGUAGGAGCUAGAAUGAUAUUCUUGCCUUUCUUCAGCUCCCAAAGUAAUCUAGUUUUGCCCUAGCUCAAUGUCUCCUUAUGUCAGUCUUAAUUAACAGCAACAACAAAAAUCCCCAGGGGACUGAGCUUAUCAUCAGAAAGAGAUCAUAGAGGUCAUCGAAUUCACACAUACCCCAAGCCCUGCCAAACUCCUGUAUGGGGGUUACACCUAAAACAAGCUCUUUAUGCAGGGCUUGUCAGAAAAGACUGUCCUCUUGUUUUUCUCACUCAGGGAACCUAGAGUGCAAAAGAGCAAAGUAAUCAGCAACUUUACUGGCUUUACUGGCCUUCUUGCCACAUGCAUAUACACUUCUCACAAAGCCGUCUUCCCCUAUCCCCAGGCUCCAACUCACUUCUUAUCCUUAGUUCCUAGUUGCCACUGAGUGUGGAACACACACACACACAGACACACACACACACACAGACACAGACACACACACACACACACACACACACACACACUCAGGCACACUCAGGCACUCACAUGCUCCUGAUGCUAAGAGCUAAAAAUAUCUAGGAAAGGACCAUGUAGGAUACAGCUUCUUUAUUCAUAACUGGCUAAAGUGAUUUUAAUGUGGAUGCUUAUAUUUAAGAAAGGUAUUAAACAUGCAAGUAUCACCUUAAUUUUCCAUGCAAAUUUCAGUUUAAUGACUAUGACCAUGAGUGGAUCAGAGUUAGACACUCUUAGAACUUAUAACACAGGGUCUGUUGGUCGUUCUGGGAUAGGACAUAGCUUUCAAGAGUUGUGUGAAGUUUAGCAGAUGACAAACAAUAUUGUGAGACUUAGAGGAUGAGAAUGAGGGAACCUUAUUUCUUUUGAAUUUUCAUUUUAUUCUCUUAGCUAUGUAAGAUACGUUAGUUGUUUAGUGUGUACUAAUUUCUUUAUCCAAGAAAACAUUAUGAGACAAUUAUUUUAAAACAAAUGGAAAUAUAAAUGGUAUAAAAUGUAACCAGGGAGAAUGUCAAAAGGUAAAGAGGGGGAUGGGAAGAGGAUGGUAAAGGGAGAUAGAGGAAAGCAAAUAGAAAUGAAAAACAAAGCAAACAAGUGUCAAAGAAAAAUAAAAGGAAAUGAUCUUAGAAAGUUAAAUGAGUGAAAAACAUAUGGAAGGGUCAUGACAAGGAAACAGAAAGACAGUCUGAAAGAACAGGAACAACAGGAUAAUGUGGCACUGGCCAUCUUCCAGAAGGUGGAGCUUGAACCUUUCCAUCCCUAGCAAGGAUUUGAUUCCAAAAAAUGGAGUCCAGAAUAAAAGGCAAAGUCAGUUCAUAGUGGAAAAAUACAACAAGCACAAGACUAAGGUUAACAUCAUUGAGUGCUAGCUGAGAUCCAUUCUGCAAAACACCUAGCCAUUAUGCCUCAGAACUAUCAAUAUAAUCGAAAACAAUGAAAAGUCAGACCACUGACCAAGCAAGAAGAGUCUAGGGAGGUGCAAGAAGUGUUAUUGUAGGAUCCUAGAUGGGAUGCAGGCAUAGAGAAAGGACAUCGGAUAGAAACUACAGGCAUCUGAAUAGAGAGCUGAUUUUACUUAAGACGUGAUAGAUAAUAAAAUGUAUAAAAAUAUGUAUCAUGGAUGAGAGAUGUUAGUAGUAGAGAAAGCCAGGUGUUGAGGAUGCUGAAUCCUCUGUACCAUCUUUGUAACAUCUCUAAAUCUAAAACUGUGUUAAAAUAAAGAUUCUGCUUCAAGUUUAAAGACAAAGGAAAAAACAUGAUACAAUGGUGGAGGAGGAGAGAGAAGUGGAUCUCUAUCUCUUUCCUUUUUGAGAUAAGAUGAUGUGUAAGUCAUGCUGCCCUUGAACACAUCAUUUCCUUGCCUCCACCUCCUGAGUGCCAAGAUUACCAAGGUGCACCACCACAGAUGGCUAAGAGACAAAGAUUUUUUUAAAUUAAAGCAAACAACAUAAAGGAAUUUUUAAAGAAAAAAAACUACC